rnacentral:lncRNA from 1 species
CCCCAGGUGUUUUAUUACUCAAAGAAAUAAUAUAUUUAUAAUCCAAUAAAUUAGUCAUGCACUAACUAAAUGGAUAUUAUUGAUGAUCGAUGGAUAUGUAGGAUAUCGAUAGUUGGACCCCCCCCCCCCCAAAAAAAAUAAUAAAUGUAAUCACGUAUUUCCAUUUCAGUUACUAAACUCAUGACUUCAGUAAUCAAUCAUCACAUUAAAAAACAGCAGAGUCACAGAAAACGAUUUAAUAAAUCACCGUGAUUGAUCCUUUUUUUGGGGGGCGCCACCCUUCCUGAUUGGUGGCCACACCGUGUAAGUACGCCGCUGUGGAGAUGAAUGCUUUGUCCUUUUUUCUACAACAGACUGGAUGCGGAGGAUUUAAAUAACUAAUAUCGGAAUAAUAUCAUGGUUGAAUUCAGUCAGAAAAAAAAAAACUUAUUGAUUGUUGACCUCGUAAGGUAUCUCUGAGAUUGUCCUUUCAGAAUGACGUCCCUGAUAACACUAUUCACAAUGACAGCUCACACACACACACAACUUUUAACGUAGACAAAUUUAUUCCAAAGAAAAUCCUCUGGUUAGACCCCAGCCCCUUCCUCUUGACUAUUGACUAGUUAAGUUAGUUGGGGAAUGUGGACUAGUUAAGUUGUGUGUGUUGUGGACAGGGCUUAUUGCACUCACAGUGACUCCUUCAGUCUCCCGGUGAUCAAUAACGCUGGUUCAGUUCAAACACAGUCUCCCGGUGAUCAAUAACGCUGGUUCAUCUCCCGGUGAUCAAUAACUCUGGUUCAGUUCAAACACACUCUCCUGGUGAUCAAUAACUCUGGUUCAGUUCAAACACAGUCUCCCGGUGAUCAAUAACUCUGGUUCAGUUCAAACACAGUCUCCCGGUGAUCAAUAACUCUGGUUCAGUUCAAACACAGUCUCCUGGUUAUCAAUAACUCUGGUUCAGUCUCCCGGUGAUCAAUAACUCUGGUUCAGUUCAAACACAGUCUCCUGGUUAUCAAUAACGCUGGUUCAGUUCAAACACAGUCUCCCGGUUAUCAAUAACGCUGGUUCAGUCUCCCGGUGAUCAAUAACUCUGGUUCAGUUCAAACACAGUCUCCCGGUGAUCAAUAACGCUGGUUCAGUUCAAACACAGUCUCCCGGUUAUCAAUAACGCUGGUUCAGUCUCCCGGUGAUCAAUAACUCUGGUUCAGUUCAAACACAGUCUCCCGGUGAUCAAUAACGCUGGUUCAGUUCAAACACAGUCUCCCGGUGAUCAAUAACUCUGGUUCAGUUCAAACACAGUCUCCUGGUGAUCAAUAACUCUGGUUCAGUUCAAACACAGUCUCCCGGUGAUCAAUAACGCUGGUUCAGUUCAAACACAGUCUCCCGGUGAUCAAUAACGCUGGUUCAGUUCAAACACAGUCUCCCGGUUAUCAAUAACUCUGGUUCAGUCUCCCGGUGAUCAAUAACUCUGGUUCAGUUCAAACACAGUCUCCCGGUUAUCAAUAACUCUGGUUCAGUUCAAACACAGUCUCCUGGUGAUCAAUAACUCUGGUUCAGUUCAAACACAGUCUCCCGGUGAUCAAUAACUCUGGUUCAGUCUCCCGGUGAUCAAUAACGCUGGUUCAGUCACCCGGUGAUCAAUAACGCUGGUUCAGUUCAAACACAGUCUCUCAAACAAAGACCGAUAGGCUACAAACUUGUAUGAAGUGAAAAGUGUUCCUUUUUGUUUAUAUUAAACUGAUCAGAGACUAUAAAUGUUCACGAUAACGUUUUUCUCCUCAACAUUUUUUCCUGUUUCAGUGCAAGUCAGAUAUUUUCCCAUGAUGCCUUUGGCUUUGUUGCGGCAGCAAACCUUUGACCUUUGCCAAACCCUGAGGAUCAAAAAAACGACCCGAGCAACGACCUACACAACACCCAGCAUCCAUUACCCUAACAUUACCCUCUCUAAACCAUCUCUCAAUACUCCCCCCUCUACGACUUCUACCACCAUUACCCUAACUCACAUUAUCAUUGCCCUAACAUUACCCUAACUCACAUCAACCAUUACCCUAACUCACAUCAUCAUUGCCCUAACAUUACCCUAACUCACAUCAACCAUUACCCUAACAUUACCCUAACAUUACCCUAACUCACAUCAACAUCAUCAUUACCCUAACAGUGUGUGUCUUCCGAGAGAGAGAGUAAUGUUUUCUAGGCGGGAACAGUGUGAGUGUGAGAGACAGUGAGAGAGACAGUGAGAGAGACAGUGAGAGAGAGACAGAUAUAGAGAGUAAUGUUUUCUAGGCGGGAACAAUGUGAGUCUGUGUGUCUGAGAUAUAUAGAGAGAGAUACAGAGAGAGAGACAGUGAGAGAGACAGUGAGAGAGACAGUGAGAGAGAGAGAGAGAGAGAGAGAUAUAUAGAGAGUAAUAUUUUCUAGGCAGGAACAGUGUGAGUGUGAGAGACAGAGAGAGAGACAGUGAGAGAGAUACAGAGAGAGAGAGAGAGACAGUGAGAGAGAGAGAGAGAUAUAGAGAGUAAUAUUUUCUAGGCGGGAACAGAGAGUGUGAGAGACAGAGAGAGAGACAGUGAGAGAGAUACAGAGAGAGAGAGAGAGACAGUGAGAGAGAGAGAGAGAUAUAGAGAGUAAUAUUUUCUAGGCGGGAACAGACUGAGUGUGAGAGACAGAGAGAGAGACAGUGAGAGAGAUACAGAGAGAGAGAGACAGUGAGAGAGAGAGAGAGAUAUAGAGAGUAAUAUUUUCUAGGCAGGAACAGAGUGAGUGUGAGAGACAGAGAGAGAGACAGAGAGAGAGAGAGAGACAGAUAUAGAGAGAGAGACAGAUAUAGAGAGAGUAAUAUUUUCUAGGCGGGAACAGAGUGAGUCUGUGAUUAUGAUUUGAGGAAGUCGGAUCCUCGUCUCCGUGUGAUGGGUGAAAAUAUGAUCACAUGAUGAGAGAACGUGUGCAGCCUAGUCUCAAUUUAACCUUAUCCUCCGUACGUACUGGAGGCUGCUCUUCCCUCUUUAAUCAUGCCGGUUAGGCUACUCUGGUUUAACAGCAGGGUAGCAGCUUGCAGGGUAGAGGCAGGGUAGAAGAUGGCAGGGUAGCAGCUGGCAGGGUAGUGGAUGGCAGGGUAGAAGAAGGCAGGGUAGGAGAUGGCAGAGUAGCAGCUGGCAGGGUAGCAGAUGGCAGAGUAGCAGCUGGCAGGGUAGCAGAUGGCAGAGUAGCAGCUGGCAGGGUAGAAGCUGGCAGAGUAGCAGCUGGCAGGGUAGCAGAUGGCAGAGUAGCAGCUGGCAGGGUAGCAGCUGACAGGGUAGAAGCUGGCAGAGUAGCAGCAGGCAGGGUAGCAGCUGGCAGAGUAGCAGCUGGCAGAGUAGCAGCUGGCAGCGUAGCAGCUGGCAGAGUAGCAGCUGGCAGCGUAGCAGCUGGCAGAGUAGCAGCUGGCAGCGUAGCAGCUGGCAGAGUAUCAGCUGGCAGGGUAGCAGCUGGCAGCGUAGCAGCUGGGAUCCUCUUUUCAGUGACACCCAUCAACACUGCUUGGUUCCAUAUAGAAAUGUCUGGGAACACAUUUCACUCCACAAAUCAACCACUGUUUGAGGAGCACCCAGCCUCUCGCUGCGCGACAGGUGAUAUUCCACCCAGUACUCUGUAUGGGCUCUCCUACCCUGUUCCUGUAGCUACCCAGUGCUCUGUAUGCCAUGGGCACUCCAACCCUGUUCCUACCCAGUACUCUGUAUGCCAUGGGCUCUCCCAACCUUGUUCCUGCAGCUACCCAGUUCUCUGUAUGCCAUGGGCUCUCCUACCCUGUUCCUGCAGCUAACCAGUACUCUGUAUGCCAUGGGCCCUCCUACCUUGUUCCUUCAGCUACCCAGUACUCUGUAUGCCAUGGGCACUCCUACCCUGUUCCUGUAGCUACCCAGUACUCUGUAUGGGCUCUCCUACCCUGUUCCUGCAGCUACCCAGUACUCUGUAUGGGCUCUCCUACCCUGUUACUGUAUCUACCCAGUACUCUGUAUGGGCUCUCCCAACCUUGUUCCUGCAGCUACCCAGUACUCUGUAUGCCAUGGGCUCUCCUACCCUGUUCCUGCAGCUAACCAGUACUCUGUAUGCCAUGGGCCCUCCUACCCUGUUCCUUCAGCUACCCAGUACUCUGUAUGCCAUGGGCUCUCCUACCCUGUUCCUGUAUCUACCCAGUACUCUGUAUGUCAUGGGCUCUCCUACCUUGUUCCUGCAGCUACCCAGUACUCUGUAUGGGCACUCCUACCCUGUUCCUGCACCUACCCAGUACUCUGUAUGCCAUGUGCUCUACUACCCUGUUCCUGCAGCUACCCAGUACUCUGUAUGCCAUGGGCUCUCCUACCCUGCAGCUACCCAGUACUCUGUAUGGGCUCUCCUACCUUGUUCCUGCAGCUACCCAGUACUCUGUAUGCCAUGGGCCCUCCUACCUUGUUCCUUCAGCUACCCAGUACUCUGUAUGCCAUGGGCUCUUCCAACCUUGUUCCUGCAGCUACCCAGUACUCUGUAUGCCAUGGGCCCUCCUACCCUGUUCAUCUACCCAGUACUCUGUAUGUCAUGGGCUCUCCUACCUUGUUCCUGCAGCUACCCAGUACUCUGUAUGCCAUGUGCUCUCCUACCCUGUUCCUGCAGCUACCCAGUACUCUGUAUGGGCACUCCUACCCUGUUCCUGCAGCUACCCAGUACUCUGUAUGCCAUGGGCUCUCCUACCCUGCAGCUACCCAGUACUCUGUAUGGGCUCUCCUACCUUGUUCCUGCAGCUACCCAGUACUCUGUAUGCCAUGGGCCCUCCUACCUUGUUCCUGCAGCUACCCAGUACUCUGUAUGCCAUGGGCCCUCCUACCUUGUUCCUGCAGCUACCCAGUACUCUGUAUGCCAUGGGCUCUUCCAACCUUGUUCCUGCAGCUACCCAGUACUCUGUAUGCCAUGGGCCCUCCUACCCUGUUCAUCUACCCAGUACUCUGUAUGCCAUGGGCUCUCCUACCCUGAUCCUACAUCUACCCAGUACUCUGUAUGGGCCCUCCUACCUUGUUCCUGCAGCUACCCAGUACUCUGUAUGGGCCCUCCAACCUUGUUCCUGCAGCUACCCAGUACUCUGUAUGGGCCCUCCAACCUUGUUCCUGCAGCUACCCAGUACUCUGUAUGGGCCCUCCAACCUUGUUCC